rnacentral:rRNA from 1 species
UACGAAGGGGGCUAGCGUUGCUCGGAAUUACUGGGCGUAAAGCGCGUGUAGGCGGCUCUUCAAGUCAGACGUGAAAGCCCCGGGCUUAACUCGGGAACUGCGUUUGAUACUGUCGAGCUAGAGUGUGGAAGGGGCGAUUGGAAUUCCGUGUGUAGCGGUGAAAUGCGUAGAUAUACGGAGGAACACCAGAGGCGAAGGCGGAUCGCUGGGCCAACACUGACGCUGAGACGCGAAAGCUAGGGGAGCAAACGGG